rnacentral:rRNA from 1 species
AAACUAACAAGGAUUCCCCUAGUAGCGGCGAGCGAAGCGGGAAGAGCUCAAAUUUGAAAUCUGGCACUUUCAGUGUCCGAGUUGUAAUCUCGAGAAGUGUUUUCCGCGCCAGACCGCAUACAAGUCUGUUGGAAUACAGCGUCAUAGUGGUGAGAACCCAGUACAUGAUGCGGAUGCCUGGUGCUUUGUGAUACACUUUCGAAGAGUCGAGUUGUUUGGGAAUGCAGCUCAAAAUGGGUGGUAAAUUCCAUCUAAAGCUAAAUAUUGGCGAGAGACCGAUAGCGAACAAGUACCGUGAGGGAAAGAUGAAAAGCACCUUGGAAAGGGAGUUAAACAGUACGUGAAAUUGUUGGAAGGGAAACGCUUGAAGUCAGACUUGCUAUCUGGAGUUCAUCCGCAAGGAGUAUUCUUCAGUUCGCAGGCCAGCAUCAGUUUUCUGGGGUGGAAAAGGAUACGAGGAAGGUAGCAGCUCUCGUGGCUGUGUUAUAGCCUCGUAUUGGAUUCACUCUGGGGGACUGAGGAACGCAGUGUGCUUUUAGCGGGGCUUUCGAGCCUUUCACACUUAGGAUGCUGGUAGAAUGGCUUUAAACGACCCGUCUUGA